rnacentral:rRNA from 1 species
CUACGGGCCGCUCCAGUAAAGAAUCUUCCACAAUGGGCGAAAGCCUGAUGGAGCAAUACCGCGUGAACGAUGACUGUCGAAAGAUUGUAAAGUUCUUUUCUGAGGGAAGAAUUCUGACGGUACCUCAGGAAUAAGCACCGGCUAACUCCGUGCCAGCAGCCGCGGUAAUACGGAGGGUGCAAGCGUUACCCGGAAUUAUUGGGCGUAAAGCGUCCGCAGGCGGUUUGUUAAGUUGGUUAUUAAAUCUCAUAGCCCAACUAUGAGGCUGUAACCAAAACUGACUAACUAGAGUCUUUCAGGGGCAUGCGGAAUUCUGUGUGUAGGGGUAAAAUCCGUAGAUACACAGAGGAACACCAAAAGCGAAGGCAGCAUGCUGGGGAAGUACUGACGCUCAUGGACGAAAGCGUGGGUAGCGAACGGGAUUAGAUACCCCGGUAGUC